rnacentral:rRNA from 1 species
GACGAACGCUGGCGGCGUGCCUAAUACAUGCAAGUUGAGCGCUGAAGGUUGGUACUUGUACCAACUGGAUGAGCAGCGAACGGGUGAGUAACGCGUGGGGAAUCUGCCUUUGAGCGGGGGACAACAUUUGGAAACGAAUGCUAAUACCGCAUAAAAACUUUAAACACAAGUUUUAAGUUUGAAAGAUGCAAUUGCAUCACUCAAAGAUGAUCCCACGUUGUAUUAGCUAGUUGGUGAGGUAAAGGCUCACCAAGGCGAUGAUACAUAGCCGACCUGAGAGGGUGAGCGGCCACAUUGGGACUGAGACACGGCCCAAACUCCUACGGGAGGCAGCAGUAGGGAAUCUUCGGCAAUGGACGAAAGUCUGACCGAGCAACGCCGCGUGAGUGAAGAAGGGUUUCGGAUCGUAAAACUCUGUUGGUAGAGAAGAACGUUGGUGAGAGUGGAAAGCUCAUCAAGUGACGGUAACUACCCAGAAAGGGACGGCUAACUACGUG